rnacentral:piRNA from 1 species
UGGGGGGAGUGUGUUCCUUCUUUCUUGCCUA